rnacentral:rRNA from 1 species
UACAGAGGGUGCAAGCGUUAAUCGGAAUGACUGGGCGUAAAGCGUGUGUAGGUGGUUGAAUAAGUUAGAUGUGAAAUCCCCCGGGCUUAACCUGGGCACUGCGUUUAAGACUGUUCAACUAGAGUACUGUAGAGGAUAGUGGAAUUUCCAGUGUAGCGGUGAAAUGCGUAGAUAUUGGAAGGAACACCAGUGGCGAAGGCGACUAUCUGGACAGAUACUGACACUGAGACACGAAAGCGUGGGGAGCAAACAGG